rnacentral:rRNA from 1 species
GCUCAACCCCGAGCGGCCAUUGGAAACUGGGGAGCUUGAGUGCAGAAGAGGAGAGUGGAAUUCCACGUGUAGCGGUGAAAUGCGUAGAGAUGUGGAGGAACACCAGUGGCGAAGGCGACUCUCUGGUCUGUAACUGACGCUGAGGCGCGAAAGCGUGGGGAGCAAACAGGGUUAGAUACCCUGGUAAUCCACGCCGUAAACGGUGAGUGCUAGGUGUUAGGGGUUUCGAUGCCCGUAGUGCCGAAGUUAACACAUUAAGCACUCCGCCUGGGGAGUACGGCCGCAAGGCUGAAACUCAAAGGAAUUGACGGGGACCCGCACAAGCAGUGGAGCAUGUGGUUUAAUUCGAAGCAACGCGAAGAACCUUACCAGGUCUUGACAUCCUUUGACCACCCAAGAGAUUGGGCUUCCCCUUCGGGGGCAAAGUGACAGGUGGUGCAUGGUUGUCGUCAGCUCGUGUCGUGAGAUGUUGGGUUAAGUCCCGCAACGAGCGCAACCCUUGAUCUUAGUUGCCAGCAUUGAGUUGGUCACUCUAAGGUGACUGCCGGUGACAAACCGGAGGAAGGUGGGGAUGACGUCAAAUCAUCAUGCCCCUUAUGACCUGGGCUACACACGUGCUACAAUGGAUGGUACAAAG